rnacentral:tRNA from 3 species
GGCACUUUGGCGGAGUGGUUAACGCGAUGCCCUGCUAAGGCAUUCCCUUCGGGGGCGUGAGUUCGAAUCUCACAGGUGUCG